UAAAAGUUUUAUUUUGGCUUAAAAAUUAGUUUAAUUUAUUUAUUUAUAUGUAAAUUUUAGUAUUAUUAAUUAUAUUUUUAAAUAAAAUAUAAUUUUUAAAUUAUUCUCAGUAAAUUAUUUUAAAAUAUUUAAGAAAUUAAGAAUUAGGAAUAAAGUUUAAUAUUAACAAAAUUUGUGCCAGCAGUUGCGGUUAGACAAAUAAUAUAAGUUAAUUUUUAUUGAUUUAUAAUUAUUUUUAAAAUUAUUAAAAUUUAAAUUUAAUAUAAUUAAGUGAAAUUUUUUAUAUUUAAAAAAUUUAUAUAUUUAUUUUAAGAAGUUAGAAAAUUUAAUAUUUAAACUAGGAUUAGAUACCCUAUUAUUUUUAAUAUAAAUUAUUAUAUCAAAUAAUUAUUAGUUAUGUUCUUUAAAAUUAAGAAAUUUGGCGGUAUUUUAGUCUAUUCAGAGGAACCUGUCCUAUAAUUGAUAUUCCACGAUUAAUCUUACUUAUAUUUAAUAGUUUAUAUAUCGUUGUAGUAGAAUAUUUUAUAAGAAAUUAAAUAUUCAUAAUUUUUAAUAAUAAAAUAAAUCAGAUCAAGGUGUAGUUUAUAUAUAAGGAGAGAUGGGUUACAUUAAUAAAAUUAAUGGAAAUUAAAAUUAAAAUUUAAUUGAAAUUGGAUUUGAGAGUAAUUUUUUAUUUAUAUUAAAAAUGAUUUAAGCUCUAAAAUAUGUACAUAUCGCCCGUCGCUUUCAUAUAAAAUGGAAUAAGUCGUAACAAAGUAGAUUUACCGGAAGGUGUGUCUAGAAUUCA
rnacentral:ncRNA from 1 species